rnacentral:sRNA from 1 species
GGGAGAAUGAAAAUCUGGGGAUGAGCUUGGCUAGAUGUUAUUUUUGUCACCCAUGCAUGCCCUUCGUCCCAGGAGCUAUUGAGCUUUCCCGCCCGUUCAGUGCUCCCUGGACGACGGCCUACCCGAGCUUGCUAGACAAGCCCUAGUGAUAGGACUUGGCAGGGUGCAAGCCAGCGACAAGCUCCACACCCAGCCCCAAGUGGAGCCCAGCUGGCUUGGAUGGUUUGAUGAGUACUACCGAUGUCGCUGGGGGAACGUUAGCCCCGUUUUGCGGCGGAAAAAGGAGAGAAGUGAUGUUUGAGAAUCUCUCUUACACCAAUUACAGUCUAGAGCAGCCUUGCUUUGACACUAGAAUAUCGGGUGAUACCGCGAUCCUGCAGCCAAACCCCCGCCUCGGAAAAAGAAAAGAAGCAAAAGAAGUAGGG